UAGGUAACAAGGAUAGUCCCAAGUUAUACUUGCCUUAAACACUUGCUCAAUUCUCACACCAUUAGCUUUCGAUCAUCACCUUCUCAUCCUCAACGUCCACAAACGGUUCUCGUCUACUUAUAGCAAGCACCAUAGAUAGGCAAACAUACAAGCAACAAAUAAAAAGAACUAAGAACAAUACACCACAUAAGAGAAAAGAACAUACUAAAAGAGAAUCAGUGC
rnacentral:lncRNA from 1 species